GACGAACGCUGGCGGCGUGCCUAAUACAUGCAAGUUGAGCGAUGAAGAUUGGUGCUUGCACCAAUUUGAAGAGCAGCGAACGGGUGAGUAACGCGUGGGGAAUCUGCCUUUGAGCGGGGGACAACAUUUGGAAACGAAUGCUAAUACCGCAUAACAACUUUAAACAUAAGUUUUAAGUUUGAAAGAUGCAAUUGCAUCACUCAAAGAUGAUCCCGCGUUGUAUUAGCUAGUUGGUGAGGUAAAGGCUCACCAAGGCGAUGAUACAUAGCCGACCUGAGAGGGUGAUCGGCCACAUUGGGACGGAGACACGGCCCAAACGCCUACGGGAGGCAGCAGUAGGGAAUCUUCGGCAAUGGACGGAGGUCUGACCGAGCAACGCCGCGUGAGUGAAGAGGGAUUUCGGGUCGUAAAACUCUGUUGGUAGGGAAGAACGUUGGUGAGAGUGGAAAGCUCAGCAAGUGACGGUAACUACCCAGAAAGGGACGGCUAACUACGUG
rnacentral:rRNA from 1 species